UCUUACAAAUCUAAUACCUUAAAUGCAUCAGAUCUUGUAUGAUACUGGAAGCUAAGCAGGGUCAUUCCUGGUCAGUACUUGGAUGGCAAAUUGCCAAGGAAUACCAUAUGCUGACUUGGGUGGAU
rnacentral:rRNA from 11 species